GUUAAAUCUGUUUUCUGUUAUAUCUACUUAACGUGACUCUGCAUUUAUGUAUGCCGUCAUACUUUGAACGACAAAAUUAUUUUUAUGUCUACCUGUGCGAAUUUCAAACGCGCAAUUUUACACCAGUACUGAAAACCUUCUAUCCUUUACGGGUAGACUUUACAUAGAUAAAUUAAGUCGUAUAAGAAAAACAAAAUGAGUAUGUUAAAUUUG
rnacentral:lncRNA from 1 species